rnacentral:rRNA from 1 species
UACAGAGGGUGCGAGCGUUAAUCGGAAUUACUGGGCGUAAAGCGCGCGUAGGCGGCUUUGCAAGUCGGGUGUGAAAUCCCCAGGCUUAACCUGGGAACUGCAUUCGAGACUGCAUUGCUAGAGUAUGGGAGAGGGAAGUGGAAUUUCCGGUGUAGCGGUGAAAUGCGUAGAUAUCCGGAGGAACACCAGUGGCGAAGGCGAUGCUCUGGGCCGGUACUGACGCUGAGGAGCGAAAGCAUGGGGAGCGAACAGG